AAAAUGCUUUUAAAAUCUAUAUUUUAAUUUCAUCUAACAUUCAAUCAUUUUAUUCGAUUUUAGCCAAUUUGGUUGGAAAUUAAUAUAAAAUGACCUUGUCACUUUCAUUUCCCACUAUUCAUAUCUACGAUUUCUCUCUUUUACUCCCUUCACCCAAAUCAUUGAUUCUCCAGUAAUUUUCUCGUUUCAACUUUUCAAUCUGGUAUAAUAAUAAAUUAGAUAUUGUUGUUUGGUUAGCCGAUAUAAAUGGGUCUCCUUUAUAACGCAUCCAAAACUUUUGGUCGUUACCUCUAUCUACAAAUUCUUCCUCUUAAGCUCUCACCUGAAUCAGUGGUGGAGGUGGCACAUCAGAUUCAAUCGGCAGUGUGUUAGUCCCCUUUUUCUGGACUCUCAGAUUUCUGUAGUUUACCUAGUCCACCGUGCAAAGUCAAACUACGAAGAUGAAGAGCCAGACAACAUGCAAUGACGAAGGAGCUCUUAUGGCUCUGUUGGUCCUUUCGCACUUCUUCAUAGUCAUAGAAAUUUCGAGUUUGUCAAGUCUACAAACCAUCUCCUUAUCAUCUUGUUAGUAACUGGUUUAUAAUUUCAUUUUUUUAAAAAUUUAAAACUUUUAAUUAAAUUAAUAUUUUAUGUGGAUGAAAUUCAAUCCAUACUUUGUUUAUGGAUUCGAGCUGUUGGUUAAGAUUUUGUUUGGCAUAAGAGUAAUAUGUAGACUUGGGUUAGUGCAUCAUUAGCUGAUGGAACACUCGUCUUGAUGGUUUGCUGGUCGUCGUAUGGAUGAAAGCGUGAAGGCUGCCAUUAAGUGUAAGAUUACUAUGUUGCUUAAGUUAUUAGCAAUACAAUUGCAUUUGUUGUUUUUUUCUUUGUUCUGUUGUUUUUUGGAAAGAUGCCCAUUAAUUAUUUAUGAAAAUGAAAUGUAAUUAUUAUUGUGUUAAUGGAGAUAGAUUUUUGAUUAGCAGAUUCAUGUUCUUGUCGCGCCAAUGAAUUUUUGUGAGUCAC
rnacentral:lncRNA from 1 species